UACAGAGGUCCCAAGCGUUGUUCGGAUUCACUGGGCGUAAAGGGUGCGUAGGUGGUGAGGUAAGUCGGAUGUGAAAUCUCCGAGCUCAACUCGGAAAUGGCAUUGGAAACUACCUUGCUAGAGGGUUGGAGGGGGGACUGGAAUACUUGGUGUAGCAGUGAAAUGCGUAGAGAUCGUAAGGAAGACCAGUGGCGAAGGCGGGGCCCUGGACAGUUCCUGACACUGAGGCACGAAGGCCAGGGGAGCAAACAGG
rnacentral:rRNA from 1 species